CCCAUUUGCGAUAGGUGGGCUACUUGCUGCUUCUUAAACAGCCUCAGAGUUUUUCUUGCAGUAUUGUUUGAAGAAUUCACCAAAUUAUUUCAGUGAUGAUCAUGUCUGAUUUUCUGGUAUAAUAUGUAACCUUGUUAGAACUGUACAAUAGUUGACAGUAUAGCUGUUUCACAGAAUAGCGUCUACAGUAUCUACAGUAGUGAUGAUAGCAAAAUGUGGCCAAUAGGUGUCACUGUGGAGAUUGUUGUCAAUGUAAUCCCAGCAAAACUGCUUCAAACAUUUCAGUGUUUUCCAAAACGUUGCUUUGCCCAUUGCUGUCAGCUGCACAACAUUAUCACAUGAAAGAGGUUAACAGUCUGGCAGUGGGUAUUGGUGAGUGCUGGGUUCGAGUACUCUCAGUGAUUGCAAAAUGGAGAACAGGUGCACCUACUUGAGCCUCCUGGGCCACACCCGCUCCUGAAAAACAGUAGUUAGUUUUUCACACCCAUUCACACAAACAGAGGAGAGACAGAGCAAACCGUAGAAGGAGAGGCAGACAGAAUUCAGGCCAGCACCUGGAAUACAGGUGAGACCAUGACACAAACAUUUUUCGCAUGUACAGACUGCAUGUGUUGGAUAGGUGCAGUGAUGUUACUAAGAGGUUUGUGAACUCUUGUUGUGAAGCCUCAGUGUUAGCAUUUAUGAAGCAAAGUGUAUAUAUAAAAACUUAAAUGGCAGCAAUAUUUUUUUUUUUUUUUUUUUUUUUUUUUAAAUGGGUAUUGAGCUGGAUUUUUGAAGCAGGGUAACUGGUGCUUCACUGAAAACAUGAUUAAGUCCAUAUGGUAAAAGACAGUCUAAAGAAGGGAUUUUUUUGUCCCAUCAGACAGAUUUACAGAAGGCAGCAGUAUUUAAGCUCUAGGAUACAGCAGAAGCAAAUGCAGAGUGAUUUCCUCGGUUGUCUGUAUCUUUCUUGGGGCUACUGUAGAAGCAUUUGCUGUAUUCUUUUUCCCUGUUUCUUGUUUAAUUUAUCAUUUCUAUUUGUGUAUGUAUUGAGAAGAUAUGGGAACAGGCGUUACUUUCAAGGCAUGCUGUGUACUUCUAAAUUAUGUUUUUAGGUUCAUGAUUAGAAUUUUUUUUUUCUUGUUUAUUUGAUGCAUCUUGGAGCUUCAAAAUCAAAAGAUCUUUUAAAAUCAGACACCCUCAGGUAAUCUAUAGAUUUUUGUUUGCUUUUGUUCUCCAGCCAGCGGCACAAACCCUAAGAAUAUUAGGCAUUCAAUCACCAAAAACAAGGAUAAUUCCCUGGUCCCUGUGGAAAAUUUGUUGAUUACUAGAUGCUGAUUACUUUUCAGUUCAAUGCCAGUCAAUAAAUCAAGAAAUGAACUUAAUUCAGGUGUAAAAUCCUUCAUUAACACCACCUUUAGCGUAAAGUUAACUUGAUACUGAUAUAUAUGAAAUUCUUUUAAAACGUGUGUGUUUGUUUUUUUUUUUUUUUUUAGGGAACAUAUAGUUUGCGUUCAAUGGUUCAAUUUAACAUCAGGUCCAACAUAAUAUUCACAUAUUGAGUGUGAUAAUUAGUCAAUUCAUCCACUAAUUUAAUUAUAGCUUCAUUAUUUUGAGAUGUAUGAUGGUGGAUGCGAACAAGGAGAGGCGUGUGAAGCCACAUUGGUAUUUAUAGAAGAGAAAAACCGUCUGCUACAUUUUAAAGUGCACUUCAACAAAAUGGCAUCAACCUUAAGGUCACUCAUAUUUGCCCAGCAGUGAACAGCUCAGCACAUCCAUGUUUAAUUUAAGAAGAGGCCUCUGUGCAACACUUGACAAGUGAAACUAUUAAACAAAACUCCACUGGACAACAGAAGUUCUCAUUUAACCAAACAAGGUGAUGGGUUUAAGCACUGGGAGUCGGGAGGCAAAUUAUAAAUUCAUGAAGGUUUUGUAGAUGCUUUAUUGGCUUUAGGCUAAACCUCAUUGCCAAGCCUGUAAACUAAGUUUGACAGGCCCCCAUGUAGAGCAACAGGAAUGGGGAAUAAGCCUCUCACUGCUCAUCCCUCCUUUACAGCCUGAAAACUUCUGGAUCACAACAGCAAGCAGAACAUGAAGGAGCUGAUAUGGAGAUCAGCUCCCAGCGAGGUUAAGCAGGGUGGGGAACCACAUCCACUGCUCUGCAUUCAUGAUUUGGAACAAAA
ensembl:lncRNA